CACUCUGGAGGGCUUGGCUGUCCUGCAUGGUGCUAUUCCUGUACCAGGAAGUGAUACUACCUGUCAGGACGCUCUCAUUGGUGCAGGUGUAGAAAGUCUUUAGCACCUGAGAGGGUAGAAAUAUCUGUAGUAAAAUAUCAUCAGUUCAACUGAAAAUGAAUCAAACAUGAGUAAUAGAAACAAUUCUGUUAGCACUUUGUGUCUUAUUCUUUUUAGAACUUGGUUUAUUAGUGUUAAUCAAUAUAAUACAGUAUAUAGUAUAAAUUAUUUCUAUACAUACACCCACACACCAUAUCUCACAGAGUACACCCCUCACAUUUUUGUAAAUAUUUUAUUAUAUCUUUUCAUGUUAUAACACUGAAGAAAUGACACUGGAAUCCUCUUCCAGUCCUCCACGAUGACAUCAUGGAGCUGGUGGAGGUUAGAGAACUUGUGCUCCUCCACCUUCUGUUUGAAGAUGCCCCACAGAUGCUCAAUAGGGUUUAGGUCUGGAGACAUGCUUAGUCAGUCUAUCACCUUUACACAGUACAUGUUGGAAUUCGUGGUUUCCUCAAUGAACUGUAGCUCCCCAGUGCUGGCAGCACACAUGCAGCCCCAGACUAUGACACUCCCACCACCAUGGCUGACUGUAGGCAAGACACACUUGUCUUUGUACUCAUCAUCUGGUUGCCACCACACACGCUUGACACCUUCUGAACCAAAUAAUUUUAUCUUGGUCUCAUCAGACCACAGGACAUGGUUCCAGUAACCUUAGUUAUAACCAUGUCCUUAGUCUGCUUGUCUUCAGCAAACUGCUUGCGGGCCUUCUUGUGCAUCAUAUUUAGAAGACGCUUCCUUCUGGGACGACAGCCAUGCAGACCAAUUUUGCGUAUACUCUGAGCACUGACAGGCUGACCCCCAACCCCUUCAACCUCUGCAGCAUUCAUAAGUCUAUUUUCCAAUCACAACCUCUGGAUAUGAUGCUGAUCACAUGCACUUAACUUCUUUGGUUGAUCAUGCUAAUUUGCCCCAAUUUGGACAUUUUCACUUAGGGGUGUACUCAGUUUUGUGGCCAGCGGUUUAGACAUUAAUGGCUGUGUGCUGAGUUAUUUUGAUGGGACAGCAAAUUUACACUGUUAUACGAGCUGUACACUCACUGCUUUACACUGUAGCACAAGGUCAUUUCUUUAGUAAAAAAAGAUUUCAGUUCCAGGUUGUAACACUAGAAAAUAUAGAAAGAUUCAGGUAGUGAAUACUUAUACCUGAAGGCAACCUGUAACUGAAAUUGACUUGAAACUAUCAGUCUAUACAAAAGAGCCCAUAGAAGUUAUACAAUGAAAAACAAAUUAAUUGUCUAAGACAAGCUAAAAGUUUUGUAUAGAUCAAAUUAAAUCAAAUUUUCACAUACACAGAUCCUUCUGGUAUUACUGGUUACACAUUCAGCAUGAACUGAGUGGAUUUUUACCUUUAUAAUUAAACAAAAGGGUCAUGUGACCUGAGUACAUUUCCACUCUUCCUGGAACAAAGCAGGCACAACAUCAUGUAGACAAACAGCUUUGGAUACAAGAGAAACAGAAUGAACAGAAUGAUCACUGAAUUUAAAAAUAAAAUAGACAAAUUAUGGCUCAACUGUGAUUCUGAAUGAGAGACCUUGGUGUUAAGAAGUUAUGUUUAAUCAUGACACGUGUGUGUGGGCUUCGUUUCUUUCUAAUUUUUGUAAACAGUCAAAAUAUGGAAAUGUAGAAGCCUAGAAUCAAACUUGUUGCAUUUAACCUUAACCAACUAACUAACUAACUAACUAACUAACUAACUAAUAUAUAUAUACCAGUUGUAAUUGUGUUGUGCAAUAUACUGAAUUUAAGAUUUGUCUUGCUGUUCAGUUUGAUAUGACACAAUAGAUCACAUAAUUCCAAUGUAUGUUUUUAGGCCACACCUAAAACCAGCCUGACAUGUAAACUGGAAUCAGGAUGUAUUUGUGUACAGUUUGCAUGUACUUGUGUUGUGAUGUUCUUUAUAUCACACAGAUUUUCCUUUAUGAAUCAUUUUGUCUGUUCGAGAAAAACAUUUUGUUUCUUGUAUCUGGACUAAUUAUAACAAUGGAUUAUUUGUUUAACGACACGGAUAUAGAUAAAAUUUUCUCUGUUUCAGUCCAGGAUCAACUGUACAAGGUUCGAAAAAAGAUUUCAAGGUUCCAGUUCAAUGUAAGGAAAACCCAGAAGGCCAAAAUGGAUGUAUCAUAUUUGAAAACAUUUCAUAUAGACUUCCUGUGUUGGAUGCCUAUGUUUUGAACCAUGGCCACCGAAACUCAGCUCUGAGGGUUCCUAUUCAAUGCGAGGAAAAUCCAAAAGGCCAAAAUGGGUUUGUUGUAUUUGAGAGCAGAUCAUACCGAAUAGCUCUGUCGGAUACCUACGCGGAGGAGGAUGGCCAUCAACAAUCAGUGUGUCAUGAACCACGGCAAAACCAUGUAGCACCGAAGGUUCCAGUUCAAUGUGAGGAAAAUUCAGAAGGCCAAAAUGGAUGUAUCAUAUUUGAAAACAUUUCAUAUAGACUUCAUGUGUUGAAUGCCUAUGUUUAGGACCAUGGCCACCAAAACUGAGCAGUAUGCUGCCUGGAUCACCUGGAGCUGAACAGCUUUGUACACCAUCAAUUUGCAGCCUCGUGUAGAAAACCAUGAGCCGAUCCAUGAACAUGAAGUAUUAAAUCCUGUACAUAUCAAAUGAUUACUUUUGUAUUAAACUAUUAGUCAUUUC